GUGACUGUCAAGAGCAGGAAGAAGGAUGGACCUUCUGAAGGUACAUCUGAGUUGCUCAUUAUUGAAACUAAUCUAACAGUUUUCUCUUCUUUUAGUUAGGUUCUUGAUUCUGGUUCAAGUACUUAUUUAUGCACUUCAAUGCAGAGUCUUGAAGAAGUUAGGGGGCUGAGGGAAGAUGAGAUCACUCUCUAAGUCAGCAAAGGAGCAAGGGUUGCUGUUGUGGCCGUCGAGAUCUAUCCUCUGUGACUACC
rnacentral:lncRNA from 1 species